rnacentral:rRNA from 1 species
UACGUAGGGCGCAAGCGUUGUCCGGAAUUAUUGGGCGUAAAGAGCUCGUAGGCGGUUUGUCGCGUCUGCUGUGAAAAUCCUGGGCUUAACCCUGGACCUGCAGUGGGUACGGGCAGACUGGAGUGCGGUAGGGGAGAUCGGAAUUCCUGGUGUAGCGGUGAAAUGCGCAGAUAUCAGGAGGAACACCGGUGGCGAAGGCGGAUCUCUGGGCCGUAACUGACGCUGAGGAGCGAAAGCAUGGGGAGCGAACAGG